rnacentral:ncRNA from 1 species
CAUUUAUCAGACCAAAAACCUUCCGCGUCUUCGGGCGCGUUCGCCUUGGUGACUCUGGAUAACUUUGCGGAUCGCACGGUCUAGCACCGGCGACGGAUCAUUCAAGUGUCUGCCCUAUCAACUUUCGUCGGUACGGUAUUUGCCUACCGAGGUUCUUACGGGUGACGGGGAAUCAGGGUUCGAUUCCGGAGAGGGAGCCUGAGAAACGGCUACCACAUCCAAGGAAGGCAGCAGGCGCGCAAAUUACCCAUUCCCGACGCGGGGAGGUAGUGACGAAAAAUAACAAUGCAGGACUCGUUCGAGGCCCUGUAAUUGGAAUGAGUACACUUUAAAAGCUUUAACGAGUAUCCAUUGGAGGGCAAGUCUGGUGCCAGCAGCCGCGGUAAUUCCAGCUCCAAAAGUAUAUAUUUAAGUUGUUGCGGUUAAAAAGCUCGUAGUUGGAUUUUGGGCGCAGGCGGCCGGUCCGUCGCAAGGCGUGUACUGGACGUCCUGGCCUUCCCUCCGGUUCUCCGCCGGUGCUCUUGACUGAGUGUCGGCGGCGGCCGGAACGUUUACUUUGAAAAAAUUAGAGUGUUCAAAGCAGGCUCUCGAGCCUGGAUAAUGGUGCAUGGAAUAAUGGAAUAGGACCUCGGUUCUAUUUUGUUGGUUUUCGGAGCGCGAGGUAAUGAUUA